AUACGUAGGUGACAAGCGUUAUCCGGAUUUACUGGGCGUAAAGGGCGUGUAGGCGGUCUUGCAAGUCAGAAGUGAAAUUCCUGAGCUCAACUCGGGCGCUGCUUCUGAAACUGCAGGACUUGAGUGCUGGAGGGGAUAGCGGAAUUCCUAGUGGAGCGGUAAAAUGCGCAGAUAUUAGGAAGUACACCGGCGGCGAAGGCGGCUAUUUGGACAUAAACUUGUGCUGAGUCCCGACACCGUGGGGAUCAAACAAUAUUAUAUACAAUGGUAUUCCUCGCCGUAAACGAUGAAUACUAGGUGUAGGGGGUAUCGACUCCCUCUGUGCCGCAGUUAACACAAUAAGUAUUCCGCCUGGGGAGUACGGCUGCAAGGUUGAAUCUUAAAGGAAUUGACGGGG
rnacentral:rRNA from 1 species